UACGUAAGGGGCAAGCGUUGUCCGGAAUCACUGGGCGUAAAGCGCACGUAGGCGGUUUGUCAAGUUGGGGGUGUAAGCUCUAGGCUUAACCUAGAAAUUGCCUCCAAAACUAGCAUACUUGAGUAUUAGAGGGGAAGCUGGAAUUCCCGGUGUAGAGGUGAAAUUCGUAGAUAUCGGGAGGAACACCAGUGGCGAAGGCGGCGAUCUGGGAAGAUACUGACGCUGAGGUGCGAAAGCGUGGGGAGCAAACAGG
rnacentral:rRNA from 1 species